UCUCUGCGUCCAGAGCCUUCCAGUACAAUACAGAGUGGGACACACUCGCCUUUGUCUUCUCCCCAAAAGAACCUCUCAGGACCUGGGAUCUCCAGCGAAUGCGACGUCGAAACUGUCGGCCGUGCGUCCUCUCUCCUCGUGCGCUCCGCCCGUCUCCACAGUUGGUGCAGGUCGCUGAAACACUUGCAACAGACAGAGCUUGCUUUUGAAGUGCUAUAGCACCUAAAGGAUCAGUGGAAGGAUAUCUAAUGUAGAGUUAAUUUGAAAAGAUUGCAUCUACUUCUUCAACAGACCAACUAGCAUUGAUAUUACUGAUGCAGAAAACGACGAUAUCGACGAAGGAAACAUAGAGGUUCAAACAUGGACCUCUGCGCAUCAAAGAAAAGCCGGACACCAGACCUUCCAAGAACUGAAGAUUUUCUCAUAUUAUCAGCAGCGUUUUAGGUAGUAGAAUGCUCUCUGUGUAAUUAUAUAUAACUGCUCAACUCUUCUGAAAACAUUUCAUGUAAAUAUAACAAGGCAGCUUCAGAUAUUGCAACAAACAUAUUACCCUCUACCAGUGUUCACCUAGCUAUAUUUUAUUUUGUAUAAAUCUGAUGCGCGCGCGCAAAGCGCGCCCCCGUUACUAGUAUGUAAUUCUAAUAGGUGGCGUAGGUAGACCCCGGAUAUAUUUGAAUGUUAAAUUUCUUGUCUUA